UAGGGAAUCUUCGGCAAUGGGGGCAACCCUGACCGAGCAACGCCGCGUGAGUGAAGAAGGUUUUCGGAUCGUAAAGCUCUGUUGUAAGAGAAGAACGUGUGUGAGAGUGGAAAGUUCACACAGUGACGGUAACUUACCAGAAAGGGACGGCUAACUACGUGCCAGCAGCCGCGGUAAUACGUAGGUCCCGAGCGUUGUCCGGAUUUAUUGGGCGUAAGGCGAGCGCAGGCGGUUUAAUAAGUCUGAAGUUAAAGGCAGUGGCUUAACCAUUGUUCGCUUUGGAAACUGUUAAACUUGAGUGCAGAAGGGGAGAGUGGAAUUCCAUGUGUAGCGGUGAAAUGCGUAGAUAUAUGGAGGAACACCGGUGGCGAAAGCGGCUCUCUGGUCUGUAACUGACGCUGAGGCUCGAAAGCGUGGGGAGCAAACAGG
rnacentral:rRNA from 1 species